rnacentral:rRNA from 1 species
GUAUAAGAGACAGCAGUAGCCGCGGGAACACAGAGGGUGCGAGCGUUAAUCGGAUUUACUGGGCGUAAAGCGUGCGUAGGCGGCUUUUUAAGUCGGAUGUGAAAUCCCUGAGCUUAACUUAGGAAUUGCAUUCGAUACUGGGAAGCUAGAGUAUGGGAGAGGAUGGUAGAAUUCCAGGUGUAGCGGUGAAAUGCGUAGAGAUCUGGAGGAAUACCGAUGGCGAAGGCAGCCAUCUGGCCUAAUACUGACGCUGAGGUACGAAAGCAUGGGGAGCAAACAGGAUUAGAUACCCGGGUAGUCCCUGUCUCUUAUAC